GACGAACGCUGGCGGCGUGCUUAACACAUGCAAGUCGAGCGGUGAAGCGCCUUCCUUUUUGGUGGGUGUGGAUGAGUGGCGAACGGGUGAGUAACACGUGAGUAACCUGCCCCCUUCUUCUGGAUAACCGCAUGAAAGUGUGGCUAAUACGGGAUAUUCUGGGUCUGUCGCAUGAUGGGUCUGGGAAAGAUAUUGUUUCGGUGGGGGAUGGGCUCGCGGCCUAUCAGCUUGUUGGUGGGGUGAUGGCCUACCAAGGCGGUGACGGGUAGCCGGCCUGAGAGGGUGGACGGUCACACUGGGACUGAGACACGGCCCAGACUCCUACGGGAGGCAGCAGUGGGGAAUAUUGCACAAUGGGCGCAAGCCUGAUGCAGCGACGCCGCGUGAGGGAUGGAGGCCUUCGGGUUGUGAACCUCUUUCGCCAGUGAAGCAGGCCUGCCUCGUUUGUGGGUGGGUUGACGGUAGCUGGACAAGAAGCGCCGGCUAACUACGUG
rnacentral:rRNA from 1 species